GCGCGCAUGGUUCAGGCGGUAAGAGGUAGGGCUGCGGCUCAGAGGUCCGGGGUUCGACUCCCAGUGGGGGUA